rnacentral:rRNA from 1 species
GAUGAACGCUGGCGGCGUGCCUAAUACAUGCAAGUCGAGCGAACAGACGAGGAGCUUGCUCCUCUGACGUUAGCGGCGGACGGGUGAGUAACACGUGGAUAACCUACCUAUAAGACUGGGAUAACUUCGGGAAACCGGAGCUAAUACCGGAUAAUAUAUUGAACCGCAUGGUUCAAUAGUGAAAGACGGUUUUGCUGUCACUUAUAGAUGGAUCCGCGCCGCAUUAGCUAGUUGGUAAGGUAACGGCUUACCAAGGCAACGAUGCGUAGCCGACCUGAGAGGGUGAUCGGCCACACUGGAACUGAGACACGGUCCAGACUCCUACGGGAGGCAGCAGUAGGGAAUCUUCCGCAAUGGGCGAAGGCCUGACGGAGCAACGCCGCGUGAGUGAUGAAGGUCUUCGGAUCGUAAAGCUCUGUUAUUAGGGAAGAACAAAUGUGUAAGUAACUAUGCACGUCUUGACGGUACCUAAUCAGAAAGCCACGGCUAACUACGUG